rnacentral:rRNA from 1 species
AGUCCCGUGAGUAUGCCCUCAAUCCCCCGCCCGGGGACAAGGAGCGGGCAUCAGGCACAAAUAUUAGCCCAAAACGCCUAGCCAAGCCACACCCCCAAGGGAAUUCAGCAGUGAUAAACAUUAAGCCAUAAGUGAAAGCUUGACUCAGUCAGGGUUAAGAGGGCCGGUAAAACUCGUGCCAGCCACCGCGGUUAAACGAGAGGCCCUAGUUGAUAUUAUUACGGCGUAAAGGGUGGUUAAGGAUAAAACAUUGAUAAAGCCAAAUGGCCCUUUGGCCGUCAUACGCUUCUAGGUGUCCGAAGUCCAACCUCACGAAAGUAGCUUUAAUAAAACCCACCUGACUCCACGAAAGCUGAGAAACAAACUGGGAUUAGAUACCCCACUAUGCUCAGCCAUAAACCUAGACGUCAACCUACAAUUAGACGUUCGCCAGGGUACUACGAGCAUUAGCUUGAAACCCAAAGGACCUGACGGUGCCUUAGACCCCCCUAGAGGAGCCUGUUCUAGAACCGAUAACCCCCGUUAAACCUCACCACUUCUAGCCAUCCCA